rnacentral:rRNA from 1 species
CAGAGAAAAGUGGAUUCUCUUAAAUUGCCUACGACAAAGGUUAGGUGCGUUAGAUUUAUUGAACGAAAGCAAUGGAUUGUUGCUGGUACAGAGGAUGGCUAUAUCCAUGUGUACAGCUGCGAGACAAAGAUUCAAAAGCUCAAAAGUUUCAGAGCUUUCACUGAUAGGCAUGGGUAUCUCAGCUUGCUAGCCGUGCAUUUAACCCGUCCGUAUUUGUUGUCAGCGGGUACACACAUGAAACUUUGGGACUGGGACAAGGGUUGGGAGUGUGUGCAGACAUUUGAGUGUUACUUUGGGGGAUUUAGGGAGACAAUAUAUGAUGCCGCAUUUAAUCAUAAUGACACAUUUGCUACUACUUCAUCGAAUACAUUUUUAAGUGAGACAGCAACAUACUUACAUAAGGUCUCUCUCUCUCUCUCUCUCUCUCUCUCUCU